AUAUAGAUAGAUAUAGAUAGAUAGAUAGAUAGAUAGAUAGAUAGAUAGAUCAUCAUCAUCAUCAUCAAAUUCCAUUAGAGUGAGGGCUUGAGAGGGUCAAAUUCUCUUUUGCAAAAGCCCUGGACAGAAACCCUGCUGUCUUGCGUAGUGCAUAAAUCUCGCCAUACAGGUCGAGAAUAUUUAGUUUCCCAGACCUGUUGAGAAGGAGAUCAGCAAGUCUGGGGCAGUCAAACAGAAUAUGAGGCACGGUUUCCUCUUCUUUCCCGCAGCGGGGGGCACCGUGAAUCGAAAUUUGGCCAUAGCCGUGAGAAAUAUGAGCCAACAGGACGAUCUCCUGUCCUGCAUUGUGCUAUAAUAGCUUGCUCAGGCCUGGACAGCCUCCACCACGGGGAAGAUAGAUACAUAGAUACAUAGAUUAUACGAAGUACGUAUCUGUGUUUAAGAAACUUUGAGCUGAAUAAAAUUAGAGACUACAAAUGCAGCAGAGUGAACAGAAUUCCCAUCCUUUCAGAGUCUUCAAGUAAUUGUUGUUCAAACGAUACAUGUAUUGCUAAUUUGUCUACUAAUUUAAUGAAACUACAAUUUAUUGAGCAGAAUGAUAUCCCGUGAAAAAAAAAAGCUUUAUCUAACUUUCGUUACGUCCAGUAACCUUGUUUAUCUUAUUGCAUUUACACAGAAGAGUUAGACCCCAAAACAGCGUGGCUGUUGUCCAUAGUUCUAGUCUUGAUCGUCGUGAUAACAUAUAUUCUAUUGGCUUAUUUUCUACUAAAAAGAAAGAGACAAUCAAAGAGUGAAAAGAAUGUUUACAAUGUGGUGAUGGAAACUCAUGAAGACCAUACUUACAAUACAUUAACGGAGACUCAAGGAGAGCUCAAUACUUACAACAAUUUACCAGAGAAUCCAAUGGAGGAGCAUAUUUAUAACAAUCUUACGAAUGACGAAGAGCAAGUCUAUACAGAAGUGACAGAUCUCGAGACUCAUGUUUACAUCAAUUGAAGACAAAUGCUAGCACUGACACAAAUUUGACCAAAAAAAAAUUAUUCUAAGUGAUAAAUCAAAACAUUGAUGUUGAAUUACCUGAAACAAUUAUUUGAUUCAAUGUUUGCUUUAAAAGUUAUAUUUAUUUACUUGUCAUCAGAUUGAUCUUUAUUGCAUCGUUGUAAACAUUUUUAAAUAAAGUUCGUUUAUAAAAUAUGAUCUGUUUA